GACGAACGCUGGCGGCGUGCUUAACACAUGCAAGUCGAACGGAAAGGCCCUGCUUUUGUGGGGUGCUCGAGUGGCGAACGGGUGAGUAACACGUGAGUAACCUGCCCUUGACUUUGGGAUAACUUCAGGAAACUGGGGCUAAUACCGGAUAGGAGCUCCUGCUGCAUGGUGGGGGUUGGAAAGUUUCGGCGGUUGGGGAUGGACUCGCGGCUUAUCAGCUUGUUGGUGGGGUAGUGGCUUACCAAGGCUUUGACGGGUAGCCGGCCUGAGAGGGUGACCGGCCACAUUAGGACUGAGAUACGGCCCAGACUCCUACGGGAGGCAGCAGUGGGGAAUAUUGCACAAUGGGCGGAAGCCUGAUGCAGCAACGCCGCGUGCGGGAUGACGGCCUUCGGGUUGUAAACCGCUUUCGCCUGUGACGAAGCGUGAAUGACGGUAAUGGGUAAAGAAGCACCGGCUAACUACGUG
rnacentral:rRNA from 1 species